CGGGAACCGGAGACAGGUGCUGCAUGGCUGUCGUCAGCUCGUGUCGUGAGAUGUUGGGUUAAGUCCCGCAACGAGCGCAACCCUUAUCUUUAAUUGCCAGCAUUCAGUUGGGCACUUUAAAGAGACUGCCGGUGUUAAACCGGAGGAAGGUGGGGAUGACGUCAAGUCCUUAUGGCCUUUAUGCUUAGGGCUACACACGUGCUACAAUGGGUGGUACAAAGAGAAGCCAACUCGCGAGAGCGCGCCAAUCUCAAAAGCCAUCCUCAGUUCGGAUUGGAGUCUGCAACUCGACUGCGUGAAGUCGGAAUCGCUAGUAAUCGUGGAUCAGCAUGUCACGGUGAAUACGUUCCCGGGUCUU
rnacentral:rRNA from 1 species